rnacentral:rRNA from 1 species
ACGGGUGAGUAACGCGUAAGGAACUUGCCUGCGGGACUGGGAUAACAGCAGGAAACUGCUGAUAAUACCGGAUAAGGUCAUUAAGCUGCAUAGCUUAGUGAUGAAAGGAGACACCUGCGGAGAGCCUUGCGUCCUAUUAGCUAGUUGGAGGGGUAACGGCCCACCAAGGCGAAGAUAGGUAGCCGGCCUGAGAGGGUGGACGGCCACAAGGGGACUGAGAUACGGCCCUUACUCCUACGGGAGGCAGCAGUGGGGAAUAUUGGACAAUGGGGGCAACCCUGAUCCAGCAAUUCUGUGUGCACGAAGACGGUUUUCGGAUUGUAAAGUGCUUUCAGCAGGGAAGAAGUAAGUGACGGUACCUGCAGAAGAAGCGACGGCUAAAUACGUGACAGCAGCCGCGGUAAUACGUAUGUCGCGAGCGUUAUCCGGAAUUAUUGGGCAUAAAGGGCAUCUAGGCGGCCUUUCAAGUCAGGGGUGAAAACCUGCGGCUCAACCGCAGGCCUGCCUUUGAAACUGAUAGGCUGGAGUACCGGAGAGGUGGACGGAACUGCACGAGUAGAGGUGAAAUUCGUAGAUAUGUGCAGGAAUGCCGAUGAUGAAGAUAGUUCACUGGACGGUAACUGACGCUGAAGUGCGAAAGCCGGGGGAGCGAACAGGAUUAGAUACCCUGGUAGUCCCGGCCGUAAAC